CCCUUGGGAAUGAUAAUAAUUCAGAUUGCAGCGUUCCCUGCAGACUUCACAAAUGGACAAACCAAAGAGUCUCUGAUCAAAUAGGGAGAGCUGCCAACCCACCUUUCCAAAACCUGGGAAAAUAAAAAAGGCUUAUUGCCUGGCACUCGGUUCGUUCAUAUCCCACAGGUAAAUAUCUCCUGCCCUGCGACCUGGCUCCUGUUUCUCCACCACCAGCUGAAUCUGAUCCCACAGCUGAUGUCCUCCCCCACUCAGCCGUCAGUGUCCGAAAUGAAAGACUGUUCCCAGACAAGGUGAUGAUCUGGAAUGAUGUGCUGAUAGGAUGGGAAGAAGCAUCAGGAUCAGGUGUGAACACCAGAAACCUUGACCCUCUCCUACCUC